ACAUAGGCUCACAGCUAUCAGCAGGCACGCCGAGCAACCAUGAAAAAAAAUCUUAUUUCCAUGAAUAGCGUGUGUUUCCCAGAAAUUUGCAGCAAGUGAAAGUACUUCAUUAUCGCUUAUUAUAAAAUCUCUUUAUACAAAACUUCAUUCGCUUCGGAAAGGUCCAGUCAUACAUAUAGCAGCAACUGUGUAUCACAAAAGAUAUCUUAGUAUUUUCUGAUUGUUUAAGAUGGGAAGUUACAGACGGAAUGUUUCACCUCUGAUGGAAGGUAUUCAACUAGGUGGUGCUCUUGCUGCUGCAGCUGGUCUGGUUUAUGCGCUUUAUACAUACUUUUCUUCAAAGGAGUCAAAUACCACUUACAGGGAAACCAAUUAUACGUGCAAUACACAUACAACAGAGAAUGCAUAUGGAAACAGAGUGACAAACAGAGCAGAAAGUAACCAAACCAAAGAGAUGCACACCACUGAAAGGGUUAUGGAAUUUAG